CUGUGGCCAGAGGGGUGGAGUCAUGUGGCUCCAACAUGGCAGUCCAAACCACAUAGAGGCUGAGGACUUUUCUCAGAAAGGGAAGACCAGCCAAAAGAACAUAGAAAGGUAGAGGAACGAUUCUUCCUGUGAGCAGAAUACAUCACCGGCUAGACACUGCUCACCUCGAAGCUGCUGUGGUAGAAAGAUCCUGGGACCGCUAACAUGAGCCGAUGAAAAAAGGUAAGAUUUCAGUAAUUUGCUCCAGGUCACACAGCCCUCCAGGAAACAGCAGACCCAGGAUUUAAAGUGUCGACUCUGUGAGAGUAGCCAGCUGUCUGCUUUGUUUUGAUUCCAUAUCCUCAACAUUGAGAAUAGUGCUAGGCACAUAGUAGUUGUUCAUUGAAGAUUUACUGACUGAAUAAAGAUCACCAUCGAAAGUAGAGCAUGUCUCAACGAAAAUGUAGGUCAGUAGAGAAGAGGAGCUGAGGCGGCAGCCCCUGCACCAGCCUCUCCUUGCUGUGGCUUCAUCUGAUUGACAGUCUGCUCAGCUGCACAAAGGGCAGUGAGGAAUCACUCUGCUAACAAGCUCCUUGCCCUCCAGACUCUGGGAGAAUGUUGACUGACGGGGACACAAUUAAAAGGGGAUUGAUUUAUUGAGCUGGAAUGCUCUCACUUCCCCUAAUCUCAGCAUCUCUCUGCUUCAUGCAAUCACCAUUUCCAAGCAAGAGUCCUCCUCCACAAACGAAACCCUCCUCAUCGCCAGGGCGUCCAAGGCACCUCUAGUUUACCAAAGGUAGCUCAGCCCUGGAAGCCCAUAAAGAAAAGCCACAUAAAAGAAAUCCUCUCCUGCAUCAGGCCUGGGAUAAGGAUCUGGAAUCCAGCAGGGAGGGGCGAUCUAAACAAAAAAGGUCAUCAAGUCUUUGGAAUGUUGAUGGGGAUGCCCGUGGGAUUCAAGGGAAGAAGAAAAUCUGGAUUUGAAUUCGACUCUCCCUUUGAACGGUUUCACUGAACUGAUGGUGGUCAUAUCUCAGCUCUGUGUGUGCAAACGAUUAUUUAUAAUUGUUGGGAUUUGAGGGGCACCCCAUAAACAGCAUUUCUCCUUUUCACCAGAGCUAUGAACUGAUUAAGAAAGAAACACGGUAUCAUCUUUGUUACUGAUAAAAUGGGAAAUGGAGUUUGUA